rnacentral:rRNA from 1 species
CAGCAGCCACGGGAAUACAGAGGGUGCGAGCGUUAAUCGGAUUUACUGGGCGUAAAGCGUGCGUAGGCGGCUAAUUGAGUCGGAUGUGAAAUCCCCGAGCUUAACUUGGGAAUUGCAUUCGAUACUGGUUAGCUAGAGUGUGGGAGAGGAUGGUAGAAUUCCAGGUGUAGCGGUGAAAUGCGUAGAGAUCUGGAGGAAUACCGAUGGCGAAGGCAGCCAUCUGGCCUAAUACUGACGCUGAGGUACGAAAGCAUGGGGAGCAAACAGGAUUAGAUACCCGGGUAGUCCCUGUCUCUUAUAC